rnacentral:rRNA from 1 species
AUUGAACGCUGGCGGAAUGCUUUACACAUGCAAGUCGAGCGGCAGCGCGGGGGCAACCCUGGCGGCGAGCGGCGAACGGGUGAGUAAUACAUCGGAACGUGUCCUUAAGUGGGGGAUAGCUCGGCGAAAGCCGGAUUAAUACUGCAUAAGCUCUGAGGAGGAAAGCGGGGGCUCCGUAAGGACCUCGCGCUGUUGGAGCGGCCGAUGUCGGAUUAGCUAGUUGGUGGGGAAAGGCCCACCAAGGCGACGAUCCGUAGCUGGUCUGAGAGGAUGAUCAGCCACACUGGAACUGAGACACGGUCCAGACUCCUACGGGAGGCAGCAGUGGGGAAUUUUGGACAAUGGGGGCAACCCUGAUCCAGCCAUUCCGCGUGAGUGAAGAAGGCCU